CUAGAGUGACCGGGCCGUGGUGAUCGGGAAGACCGGUGCAGGACCUUGUGUCCCAGGCCGGCGCGGCCCUCGCCACUGUGAUCGGGGAGUUUCCACCCCUCUCCGUACGCGCCCGGUGCGCGUACGGCGCCACUGACCGCAGCCUGCGGCCGGGAAGGCGGGGCGGACGCGUGCACCCGUAAGCCAGGAGACCGGCCACGGCAUCUCACGAACU
rnacentral:ncRNA from 2 species